AAGAAAAAGAAGAAGAAGGAAGAAGAAGAAGAAGAUACAUUCGUAAGAAGAAAAGUAAAACAGUUUGAAGAACUUACAAACUUCUGGUAUGGUGUUAUGAUUACCACCACCUAGUCCGCAGAAUCCUUGAGUGACGCUGAUGCUGUUGCUAGAUCGUUAAAUCUAGGAAUACCAUUAACAUCUACCGGCACUUGAUUGUGCGACGAUUGAACGAAAUUAUUAUCAAUGAAAC